CCUACGGGUGGCAGCAGUGAGGAAUAUUGGUCAAUGGUCGGGAGACUGAACCAGCCAAGCCGCGUGAGGGAGGAAGGUACAGAGUAUCGUAAACCUCUUUUGUCAGGGAACAAAGACUGGGACGCGUCCCCGGAUGCGUGUACCUGAAGAAAAAGCAUCGGCUAACUCCGUGCCAGCAGCCGCGGUAAUACGGCGGAUGCGGUCGUUAUCCGGAUUUAUUGGGUUAAAGGGGUGCGUAGGCGGAAGGUUACGUCAGUGGUAAAAUGUCGGUGCUAAACACAGGCCGGCCUUUGAAACUGGCCUACUAGAGUGAGCGAGAAGUAAGCGGAAUGCGUGGUGUAGCGGUGAAAUGCAUAGAUAUCACGCAGAACUCCGAUUGCGAAGGAAGCAUACCGGCGCUCAACUGACGCUGAGGCACGAAAGCGUGGGGAUCGAACAGGAUUAGAUACCCGUGUAGUC
rnacentral:rRNA from 1 species